rnacentral:rRNA from 1 species
CUGCCUACGGGGCGCAGCAGUAGGGAAUAUUGCUCAAUGGGGGAAACCCUGAAGCAGCAACGCCGCAUGGAGGAUGAAGGUUUUAGGAUUGUAAACUCCUUUUGUGAGAGAAGAUAAUGACGGUAUCUCACGAAUAAGCACCGGCUAACUCCGUGCCAGCAGCCGCGGUAAUACGGAGGGUGCAAGCGUUACUCGGAAUCACUGGGCGUAAAGAGUGCGCAGGCGGGCUUGUAAGUCAGAGUGGAAAUCCUGUAGCUUAACUACCGAACUGCAUUUGAAACUAUGAGUCUAAAGGGUGGGAGAGG